CACGGGUGAGUAACACGUAUCCAACCUGCCGUCUACUCUUGGACAGCCUUCUGAAGGAAGAUUAAUACAAGAUGGCAUCAUGAGUUCACAUGUUCACAUGAUUAAAGGUAUUCCGGUAGACGAUGGGGAUGCGUUCCAUUAGAUAGUAGGCGGGGUAACGGCCCACCUAGUCUUCGAUGGAUAGGGGUUCUGAGAGGAAGGUCCCCCACAUUGGAACUGAGACACGGCCCAA
rnacentral:rRNA from 1 species